rnacentral:rRNA from 1 species
UAGCUUUGCACUGGACUUUGAGCCUGCUUGUGUAGGAUAGGUGGGAGGCUUUGAAGCGUGGACGCCAGUUCGCGUGGAGCCAUCCUUGAAAUACCACCCUGGCAUGCUUGAGGUUCUAACUCUGGUCCGUGAUCCGGAUCGAGGACAGUGUAUGGUGGGCAGUUUGACUGGGGCGGUCUCCUCCUAAAGAGUAACGGAGGAGUACGAAGGUGCGCUCAGACCGGUCGGAAAUCGGUCGCAGAGUAUAAAGGCAAAAGCGCGCUUGACUGCGAGACAGACACGUCGAGCAGGUACGAAAGUAGGUCUUAGUGAUCCGGUGGUUCUGUAUGGAAGGGCCAUCGCUCAACGGAUAAAAGGUACUCCGGGGAUAACAGGCUGAUACCGCCCAAGAGUUCAUAUCGACGGCGGUGUUUGGCACCUCGAUGUCGGCUCAUCACAUCCUGGGGCUGAAGCCGGUCCCAAGGGUAUGGCUGUUCGCCAUUUAAAGUGGUACGCGAGCUGGGUUUAGA